AACAGGUUUGGAUUAAUCUAUACAGAGCAGGCAGGUUUUAACAGGAGGAGAAGGUCAGCCAACAACACCAAGGCUUUCCACUUUAUACUGUAACCUUCUUUAGGACGGCUGAGACCUCGGCUCACUCUCUCCCUCCCCCUCCUUCGUCCUCCCCUCACCCCUCCUUUCCUCCUUGAACCUCCUCCUCCCACCUUUUUCCUCUCAGACUCACCCAUGGCAGAAUCCUUGAAGCUUUCCUCUGAAUGGCUGCAGGAUAAUGACCCGAUGGUGCUGAACUGAAGCUGUAUAACAUACUGUUCUGUGAGUGCAGUUUGAAUAACUACCACACUAUGAGUAUCUAAAUAAAGCACAAAAAGCAUUUUGACAGCUCAGAAAACAACCCAAAAUGAAAUUUAGGGUACACCAAGUUAGCAUUACUGAAUACUUCAUUUGCAUAUUAAUAUCAGAAACUCGCACAAUGAGACAAUUAUUAGUCUUAAUGUGAGCAAUCAACCGUGGGACUUUCAUGGGAAUCUAUUAGUUUGCCCUAUUCACCUGUAAUUGCUUUCAAAAUGAGGGAUAUACUGUAUUUGUAUGCUACAGAAAUCAUUUAAAAUACAUUCAAUUCCCUCUGAUCUCGCAAAUCAUAUUGCAAAGACAGUCAAAAUAGUUGCUAGUAGUUUUAUUAGCCCUAGUCUGAUUUCAAUCCUCACAGGAACAUGAGAAAUUGAUCUAUCAGCUGAUGGAUUAUUCCUGUAACAAAGAUGAGCUUUGAUCAGCCAGCCUGACAACACGCCCUACAGGAAAUCGGAUCUCCUGUCAACAUCAUUGAGCCGCUACACCUGUCUCCACCUUUAAAACCUGGAGCUACUGACACCGCAGCAGCUGAGUAUGAACCAGAACGUCUGCGUCUCCCUUUUAAAUCAAACGUCUGUUUACUCCGCUGCUGAUGUGACUUCAGUCUGAAUUCACGUACGAGCGCGCGGAAAAUCAUGCAAAGUGGGCGUUUGAUACGAGGUUGCCAGGCAACAGUAUAAGGUAGCAGCUUUUUCAGAGUGACUCAAUAGAAAGUGUCGUGUGUGUGUGUGUGUGUGUGUGUGUGUGUGUGUGCUAUUAAAUUAACUGCAGAGAGAUAGUGAGAGGGAAAGCACGCGCCUCGCUGCUGCCUGCCAUGUACCAUACCCUGUCACUAAUGUUAGGGUAUGGUUCAUGAUACAGCAUUACAUCCAAUUAUGACACCGCUUUAAUGGCCACCAUCUCCAUUACAGAGAUGUUAUUGUUGUUGUUUUCUAUUUCACUUGGUGUGAUUAACUAGACCCUGUCAAUAGAGUCAAGUACAGCAACGUAAUGUCCUUUUAUGGUCUCACUUUGGAUUGCAGCUAGAGAGGUUAGCAUAGAUGUCGCUAAAGUGUUUGAGUCUUAGAAAUGGAAUUGGUAUAAUUGAAUAAAUGGUGUUUAUUUAUGUAUGAUGAUCAGAUCUGUGUAUUUCACUGCAUAGAACACAUUAUUUGUAUGUGAUGUUAAGUGUUUGCUAAAUUACUGAUGGGUCCCAAUAUGGGUUGUCACCUUCUGAAGGCAUAAAUAUUAAGAUAAGGUAAUGCCCUUACAUACCGGUUUUGUUUGGGGUGGGAAUAAUUCAGAUGUCAUUUUUCCAAACUGUAGUUUUUGUGAUGAAUACUUUCAAACAGAAAGCAAAUAUGAUUGUAAUAUUGUCAAUGGUGGUCAUUUUAUUUUACUUAGGGUGAGCGGCUCUUUGAGAUACCUCUAAUAUUUACACAUUUGAAUCAGACUUCUUGGAGAUUGAAUCCUUUUUUGCUUCAGGUCUGCUUUUAUUGUAUCAAGCAUAAAUAACAAUACUCAGUUCAGGAACCUUCACUCAUUCUUGAAAAGGAGUGGGAUAGUUCAUUCUAGAUCUUAGAAACAAUAGGUUUGAAAUAUAAUCAGAGUUUUACAGAAUCUCCAGCCAGACAAGGCUUUACCGUAAAUACUCAUAUCAUGUUUCAGGAAAGACUGCUUUUAAUUUUAGCAGCCGUGAUUACCUGUAAUUUCUUCAUACCUGCGUCUUGCUGCUUUCCCUCAUUAUAAUUCAUCUCUGUUUGCGUUACACUACCCUGUUUAUUUAACAGGGUGUUGCUGGAAAAGCAAGUCUGCCUACACAACCAACACUGUAAAUAAAGCCUUAGUAGUAAUAAACCACAUCAUGCACGUAGAGAAAAGAGUGGAAUCGCUUUUAUCAUUGAUCCCCUUUCUAUGAAAAGACAUUCCAUUUCAAGGGAAAGAGAUGAAUUGCAGCUUUUGUUUACACACUUCAAUUUCAGGUUUUUGUUCUCGGUGGCAUUUUGGGGUUUUUUGUUUGAUAAACAGCGUCUCAUUUCAUGUGAAAUUGCUCUGUCUGGUUUCUGUGGAAUACAUUAGUGUCUGUCAAGGCUGCUUGUUAAUUUUGGCACAGUUCAGUAAAGUGAAUCAAACCAUCAUGAUUAUUGUGAGUCAAACUCCAACUAUUACUCACCGUUCAAAGAGAUUUCAAAAACGUAAUUUCGUGACUAUGGUCUUUUUCCAAAUCCAUAUAUUAGUAAUAAUUUACAAGGUGUGUUUCACAGCCCUGUGAGAUGACUCAACGCACAUCGCAUGUUCCAUGUGAUCAUUUGACUUUCAUCAUAUAGAGGACAGUAGUGUCAGACAAUUGAAUGUCAAUGUUAAGGUUAUUUGGACGAGUUGGAUACAGUAUAUAAAUACCAUCCAUGGAUUAUAACGAACUCGUUUGUACAUUUCAUUUAGUGCAUUUGUUACUCAUUUUUCUCUUACUUUGAGCUAACACAAAGGUUUUCCUUACAUUUAGCAAACUAACAACCAGCAUUGUUUUACUUCAGAAGUAUUCAACUGUUUACUUUUCUUUUAGCUAACUAUUAAAACCAUGAUCAAUAACUUUUAUGUAUAUAUUUCCAACCUUUCCAUUUUCAUUUCAACCGUACAUCCAUUAUAUGUAUCUUUCAUAUGAAUUAUCCACUACCUUUAACAACUGCAGAAUUGGCCCUGGUUGGAAUGACUGAUUUACAAAUGAAAGAUAUAAGUUAAUUACACACCUUUUAUUAAAGUAUAAAUUGUAGUAUAGGCACAGUUUGAUAUUUCAUAUGCAACAUAUGAAAUACAUCCAGUGCUAUAGUUCGUAUGCUAUAAUUCUAUAGCUUAAUCAAUAUCACUCUGUUCCUAUAAUCAGUUGAAUAAAUGAUAUCUGUUUUGUAAAUGAGAGAAUGAAUAGAUUACAGUGAUGAAAUGAUUUUAUUGAUGAAAGAUGAACGUCUGUUUGUGAUAGCUGAUGUUUGCUCAUUUCGACAGAGAGGAGUGUGGUUCCUCUUUUACUGACUCUGUCGUCAGUGUGUGUGUUCUGUUAACCACAGUCAGGUUCGACUUCCUUCAUUCUCACAGCUCAUACAGUAGGGGACUUAACAUUUCCUCCACUGUCUCAACUGUGGCUUCAUAAACCCUUCAUGGAGACGUGUGUAUCUUGAGUGGCAGGGUCAUUCGCUAUAAGGCUGUAGGAAACUUGAAAUCAACUGUAAACAGAGAUCAACUUUAUAAAUACAGUGUAAGUGUGUUUGUUGUGUACUAAGUUGUACGAGCAAACUGGGUAAAAAGUUGUUAAAAUUGUAUUGUUUGAUUGAAUUAUCAGUGUUUAUUUGACACUGUAAAGUAGUACUGAAUAAAUUGUUUGUAGGAUUAUUUAUCUAGACUCCUCUGCUUGCUUGUUUUUCACCAUGUUGAGGUGUUAAGGGUUUUCUAAUUUAGCUAAACAGUGUGUCGUUUUGGUUGUAACCCACUGAUCACAAAGGUAAGUAACAACCUACCUGCUCGGUUAUUCGGUCUCUUAUGUCCUUGGAUAGGUUUUUUAUAACCUGCAUUCUGAAAGCAGCUGUUAUACAGCAUUUUAGUUUGUCUUUUCAACACAUAUAUUUAAAAAACAUCAACUGGUAAUUCAUCACUGAUUUCUUCUCUGCCGUAAAUCAUUCAGUGUAUAACUGAGCCAACGUCUACAAUAACUAACAGUUCAUUCCUCAUACAUCAUUGUUACAGCUACUUGUUUCCCAGUGGCAGAAAGUAAUGAAUUUGAGUGAGUCAUUUUAAUUUGAUAUACUUUCAUUAGGCCUUCUCUCAUUUUUCGCUACUUGUACAUUCACUCAACUACAUUUAUUUGAUUUCACUGCAUACACAACAUGCAGGAUAACAGUCCAACAGUGCUAUUGUGAGAUGUAAUAUGCACACUUGUGGAAAGGAGUGUUUUUUCGGUAUGUUAGGUUAGUAUCUUUCACAGAUAUUCUUUUGUCUUUAGAAAAUCUCAAAUGUAAUCUGUGGGAUUUAUAAGCAUUUUGUUUUUUUACAUAAAUAAAGUACAAAGAGUGUUUUAUAUAUACAAGAACAGUUCGAACCAAACGGAUAAAAAAUGAAUAGAAAUUUAUUUUCUUACUUAUCAAAAAUAUCUGCAACACAUUUGCAUAGAUGGACACAAAAUAGCUUCCACGAUUGUUUCAUGUGACUGUAUCACCAGGAGGAGAGCAACACAUCACAAAGUGUUCCUCUAAAAACUGAAGUGUGAAUCUAAAUAAAUGCCGAUCCUGUAUCUGAAAUAACUUAAACAUCUUUUGGGGGUGAAGUAGUUCCUGUGGACAUUAUUAUAUAACUGAUCAAUUCUUUUCUCUGAAUCCCAAUGGAUAACGAUAAAUAUUUCAAAUAUAUUACUUCUUGGUUUGUUAAAUAUUUUCAAAUAUAUCCAAUCAUGUCACACAUAAAGGGAAAACUCUUCAUGGUCAAUAAUCAUGUUUUUAACUUAAAUGCUAUACUGCUCUUCAGUCACAAAUAGAAUGGAAAUGAAAAGUAAGAAAUAAAAACAGAAGUCUUCAGCCUCUCAUAAUAACCUCUUCACAGGAUGAGUAAACUGUUUGACCCCGACGUCUUUUUGGUGGACGUUUCCGUGGGUACUCCAUCCAAUGUUGACACCAGCAUUAUCCCAGAAGUAAUCCUUCAGCUUCUCGAGGGGAUAUUCCUCUGUUUGUGCUUUUCCAGUGCAAUCGCUCCCCAAAAUAUCCCUCUUCUUGCAUGUUGGAAAUCCAUAAAAGCUCCACAACUUUCCACCAGGAGGCACCUAUUCCAACGGCCCUUAUUGUCGUGCUGCUCCUGGAUCAGUUGGCGUACUGUCUGUAAAAGGCGACCUUGACGCGCUCUAUCUGGUGACACAGCUUGAUGGCGGGCCCGAGCUUCAGGUCCAUACACUCCUGUACAGUGGGGAGAGUGAGCAGGAGCAGCGCCUGACCGUCAAUGUCCUGCAGGCAGAGAUGUACAUUAGUAUUUAAAGACACAGUUAAAGAAUAGUGUCACUUGUGCUGGAUUUUGAAGCUUUCUAACCCAGCACUUCUGGCUUAAACUGUCGGACAAGUCUUUGUUUUGACCUUACGCCUCCAAACGUUGUCAUCAUUUAAGCUGCAAGACCAUAUUAAUGCUUUUUAGUCCAGCCGGAUGAUUCUGCUCUUUAAUUAUUGAGGAUAAAUGCAUGAAAAUUAGACAAAAACUUAACAUGCAACUGUCGAUUGUCCUGAUGCAAAAUAUUUAUAGAGAAACGGUUUUUAUCUGAUUCUGGAUUCUAAAGAUUACUUCUUAUAUUCUUUGGGUUGAAAUGUCAAACUAUUACAGUUUUCAAACCAGAUCCUCUUGCUAAAGCCCAUCCUUACAAAUGCUUCAGCCUUUUUAAUAGCAAAAAGACAGAUGGUAUCACCACCAUUUUUUUAAACAAACCUAAAAUAAAAAACCUAACUGUCGACCAUUGGCUUGUUGUCAGUUUGACGUCAUGAGCUGAAUAAAGAUGUAAGUAAGAAAUGGUGUGUGUACCUGCUCCUGGAAGAUGUGGGCCAGAGAUGCACAGUCAGUUGAGUUUAUAAACUGAACGACCUCAUCUACACUCCACUCCAGAGGGUUUCUGUCCAACACCAGCUGAUCCUCCUCCUUCUCCAUCUGACACACACACGUAAGAAACACACACUGUCAAUUACAGACACAUUUGUUUUAAUCACUCAAAUCAUUCGGUCUAAGGCUGGACUCAUCCGUCUCUGGUGAAAGCGCUGUAGAUCUACUGAUUUAUUUAAUCCACCACAAUAACCAUACUGUACUGUAAUAAUGUACUGACCUGUGUGUCCUGUCCUUCCGGUGGCUGGUACUUCUGGUUGUGAGCGGACAGUGAGCGCGUGGACCUCCUGCGGCCCUCGGGGGCCUCCAUGCUGCCCGCAGAGCCGCUUGGGCUGAAGGCCCUGCGCAGCGUGGCAGCCCGACGGGGGCGGCUGCUGGUCACCUCCACCGAGGAAGCGUCAUUGUGGUCCUCACGCGGCUCCGAGCUAGUGCCUUCACUGCCCGACUGCAACAUCAGCUCUUCAUCCUCCUCGCUGUCCUGAAGGGGGGGAAUCAGGGGAAGUCAUGUUGUGUGUGGGCUUCAGUAUGAUGGACAGGUUUGAAAGGAGGGGUCAGAGUGUAAGCGUUGGCCUCGCACCAGCCUACAGGGAAGAUGUCCAUGGACUCCACAUCCAAGAUAAUCUCUGACAGCGGCUUCGCCACACCUGGAG